AGACAGCCUCUUUGUGGCUGAGUGUGACACAGGUAAAGUGAAGAAAAUUCAAUAUUACAUGUAAAUCAAUUAACUGCAUGAAUUAGAUGUGAACAAAUGAAUCAAGUAUACAUUACAUACUGUGUGUAGUUAUAACAUGUUAAGACAGUGUUUGUAUUGAUCCUGAAUAUACCAUCUACAUUAGAUGAGAAUACUGUGUGUGUGUUUAUAUUAUACAGGUAUUUAUCAUUACAGAUAACAUGCGCGGAUCCAGAAAAUUUUUCCAGGGGGGGUCCGAAGGAUAAUUGUGUUUGCCAGGGGGGGUCCGAGGCAUAUUUUCGCGAUAAUUUUACGAUGUAAAUUUAAUAAAUUUUCAUUUUCCAGGGGGGGUCGGGACCCCCCGACCCCCCCUCUAGAUCCGCGCAUGGAUAAAAUAUAUAUAAUCUGUGCAGGGUUGUCUCUAAGACCCGGGAGGCGGGGAAUUUCCCCGCCUAAAGUGACAUAAUUACCCGGCUAUUAUUGCAUUUCAAACACAAUCUAGCUAUAAGGUAGACCUCCAGAUCCCCUUCUACUUUUUUAUUUCUCCCGUCUACUUCAAUUUUUAGAGACAACCCUGUCUGUGUUAUCGGGUCAUGUAAGUUUUUCUACUGGAUGUAAACAAACUGUUGAUUGUAUUUAUAUAACAUGUAGUUUUCCAUGUGUAUAAUUAUAUUACAUGUCAUCAAACUAUGUGCUUUUUAACACCAACUUUUUUCUGCAAACAAUUUGUUUCUUUCAUUUUACAUGUAGACUGUCCAUUCUUGUAUAGUAUAUGUAAACAAAAUGGCCAUGUUUAUGUAAUACGUGUAGCACUCAAUUCUUUACCAGCAAUGCAGAGCGAGGCCACAAAAGGACUGAGGCCCAUUACUUAUAAAGAGGAGUGAUACAGGUAUAUUAACCCAAGUAGAAUACAAACUGUCUUAGCUAAUUAGCAUUACUUACCUUUAAAUCUCAAGAUUUAGAGUAGUUGUGUGUGAUUUUUUUACAGCCUUGUUUUCUCGGCUGAAUGUUCAAAGCUUCAGAAAAUCCGCAUCCAAAAUAUCCAGAUCCUUAUUGGGUUUCUUUUCUUUGAGUGUUUAAUUUCCUGAUCUGAUCAGCCGUUUUCCUGAAAAUGUAUCUAGACAAUGAGUAUAUAUGUUUGUUUUUUUUUAAACAUGAUUAUGCUAUGUAUCAUGGAUUUUGUGAGUUUUAAACAAUAAAACUUUAGUCAGAG
rnacentral:sRNA from 1 species